UACGGGGGGGGCAAGCGUUGUUCGGAAUUACUGGGCGUAAAGGGCUCGUAGGCGGCCAACUAAGUCAGACGUGAAAUCCCUCGGCUUAACCGGGGAACUGCGUCCGAUACUGGCGGGCUUGAAUUCGGGAGAGGGAUGUGGAAUUCCAGGUGUAGCGGUGAAAUGCGUAGAUAUCUGGAGGAACACCGGUGGCGAAGGCGGCAUCCUGGACCGACAUUGACGCUGAGGCGCGAAAGCCAGGGGAGCAAACGGG
rnacentral:rRNA from 1 species